AUUUACUCCAGGGAGACCAGUGUAAUGAAGUGUGGUGCCAUGAAAAUCCAAGUUUGAAGUUAGAGAAAGAAGUCUGGACUAGAAAUACAGAUACACAACCUCAAAGCAAAGAGGAACCUCUCCAAGGACCUAACCAGAAGCAAGCCUGAUAUAACUUUUCAGCAGGAAAAAUCUUCUAAAGGAAGAGAGAAUAAAAGACUAUGAAGUGAA